rnacentral:rRNA from 1 species
AGUGGGGAAUCUUCCGCAAUGGACGAAAGUCUGACGGAGCAACGCCGCGUGUAUGAUGAAGGUCUUCGGAUUGUAAAGUACUGUCUUUGGGGAAGAAUGACUGAUUUGAAAAUAUUGAGUCAGUAUGACGGUACCCAAGGAGGAAGCCCCGGCUAACUACGUGCCAGCAGCCGCGGUAAUACGUAGGGGGCAAGCGUUGUCCGGAAUUAUUGGGCGUAAAGGGCGCGUAGGCGGAUCGUUAAGUCUGGUGUGAAAGAUCAGGGCUCAACCCUGAGAGUGCAUCGGAAACUGGGGAUCUUGAGGACAGGAGAGGAAAGUGGAAUUCCACGUGUAGCGGUGAAAUGCGUAGAUAUGUGGAGGAACACCAGUGGCGAAGGCGACUUUCUGGACUGUAACUGACGCUGAGGCGCGAAAGCGUGGGGAGCAAACAGGAUUAGAUACCCUGGUAGUCCACGCCGUAAACGAUGAGUGCUAGGUGUAGAGGGUAUCGACCCCUUCUGUGCCGCAGUUAACACAAUAAGCACUCCGCCUGGGGAGUACGGCCGCAAGGUUG